rnacentral:rRNA from 1 species
GAUGAACGCUGGCGGCGUGCCUAAUACAUGCAAGUCGAGCGAACGGACGAGAAGCUUGCUUCUCCGAUGUUAGCGGCGGACGGGUGAGUAACACGUGGAUAACCUACCUAUAAGACUGGGAUAACUUCGGGAAACCGUAGCUAAUACCGGAUAAUAUUUUGAACCGCAUGGUUCAAAAGUGAAAGACGGUCUUGCUGUCACUUAUAGAUGGAUCCGCGCUGCAUUAGCUAGUUGGUAAGGUAACGGCUUACCAAGGCAACGAUGCAUAGCCGACCUGAGAGGGUGAUCGGCCACACUGGAACUGAGACACGGUCCAGACUCCUACGGGAGGCAGCAGUAGGGAAUCUUCCGCAAUGGGCGAAAGCCUGACGGAGCAACGCCGCGUGAGUGAUGAAGGUCUUCGGAUCGUAAAACUCUGUUAUUAGGGAAGAACAUAUGUGUAAGUAACUGUGCACAUCUUGACGGUACCUAAUCAGAAAGCCACGGCUAACUACGU